rnacentral:rRNA from 1 species
GUGUCAGCAGCCGCGGUAAUACGUAGGGGGCAAGCGUUACUCGGAUUUAUUGGGCGUAAAGAGAAUUCAGGCGGUCAUGUAAGUCAGUGGUGAAAUACCUCGGCUCAACUGAGGAAUUGCCUUUGAUACUGCGUGACUCGAGGACAGGAGAGGAAGGCGGAAUUCCCGGUGUAGCGGUGGAAUGCGUAGAUAUCGGGAGGAACACCUGAGGCGAAGGCGGCUUUCUGGACUGGUCCUGACGCUGAUAUUCGAAAGCUAGGGGAGCAAACAGGAUUAGAUACCCUGGUAGUCCUAGCUGUAAACGAUGGAUACUAGAUCUUGCAUGAUUUUGCUUGGUCGAAGCUAACGCGUUAAGUAUCCCGCCUGGGGAGUACGGUCGCAAGGCUGAAACUUAAAUGAAUUGACGGGG